UGGUGGAGUGAUUUGUCUGGUUAAUUCCGUUAACGAACGAGACCUUAACCUACUAAAUAGUUACGCGAUUCUCGAAUCGUGGACAACUUCUUAGAGGGACUAUCGGUGUUUAACCGAUGGAAGUUUGAGGCAAUAACA
rnacentral:rRNA from 1 species